CCGACCUUAGCUCAGUUGGAAGAGCACAAGACUGUAACGAUAGAAGCUAUCUUGGGGCCCUCGGUUCGAUCCCGAGAGGUCGGA